UAAAGCGCGCGUAGGUGGUUUGUUAAGUUGGAUGUGAAAGCCCCGGGCUCAACCUGGGAACUGCAUCCAAAACUGGCAAGCUAGAGUAUGGUAGAGGGUGGUGGAAUUUCCUGUGUAGCGGUGAAAUGCGUAGAUAUAGGAAGGAACACCAGUGGCGAAGGCAGCCCCCUGGGUCAAAACUGACGCUCAUGCACGAAAGCGUGGGGAGCAAACAGGAUUAGAUACCCUGU
rnacentral:rRNA from 1 species